rnacentral:sRNA from 1 species
CGCGCAAACUCACCCGACCACGGCAGGAGCGGGGGACCCACAGGUACAACCGCCUGUUCCGGUCUCCGGAACGGCUAGGGGUAAAGCUGCGUUUCGGCGCGGCCGGGCAUCUCCAGCCCGCACCCGACAGCUCACCUCGCAGGCGCCGGAGAGGAAUU